GAAUAUUGGACAAUGGGCGCAAGCCUGAUCCAGCCAUGCCGCGUGUGUGAAGAAGGUCUUCGGAUUGUAAAGCACUUUAAGUUGGGAGGAAGGGCAGUAAGUUAAUACCUUGCUGUUUUGACGUUACCGACCGAAUAAGCACCGGCUAACUCUGUGCCAGCAGCCGCGGUAAUACAGAGGGUGCAAGCGUUAAUCGGAAUUACUGGGCGUAAAGCGCGCGUAGGUGGUUCAGUAAGUUGGAUGUGAAAUCCCCGGGCUCAACCUGGGAACUGCAUCCAAAACUGCUGAGCUAGAGUACGGUAGAGGGUAGUGGAAUUUCCUGUGUAGCGGUGAAAUGCGUAGAUAUAGGAAGGAACACCAGUGGCGAAGGCGACUACCUGGACUGAUUCUGACACUGAGGUGCGAAAGCGUGGGGAGCAAACAGG
rnacentral:rRNA from 1 species